UGCGUGUGGAGUUCAAAUACAGACUCUCAGGCCCUUGAGCGCUUCCGGAGAGUCUCAGUGGCUCUAAUAAGGGACAGGCAUCUCUUCGAUGGCAAAAGAUUAUCUUUCACAGCGUGAGCACGAACUGGAUCAUAAUUAACAGCUUUAAUAUAUGUUCUCUCUUGCCGUGGAGCUGGUGUUUAGACUCUGUCUGUCUGCAUGCCCAUAACUUUAUAUCGUCCUUUACAAGGAGGGGCUGCUAUCACGCGUGACGGAAAAGUGGCAUGGCUAACAGUAGGUCUUGCGUUGUACAUAGAAGAAAAAGGAGGAGAAUACAGUGAACAAAAUCUUGGAAGUGUGAAUGUGGUAGUGGCAAUGCAGAACAGAAGGAUAGCAACACAGCAUUCCCACCAGAAGAAGUCACCCACAUGGGCAGCAGUGAUGGAUGAGCCAUGUGCCACCGAGAGAGGGCUUAAAAUGCCAGGCUGAUAGGUUUAAACUUGAUAGGGC
rnacentral:lncRNA from 1 species